rnacentral:tRNA from 1 species
GGAGAGGUGCUGGAGUGGACUAACAGGAGCGUCUGGAAAGCGCUUGUAGCCGCAAGGUUACCGUGGGUUCGAAUCCCACCCUCUCCGCCA